rnacentral:lncRNA from 1 species
UUUCUUGUAAGCAUUCUUAGUAGCAGCGGGUGCAUCAUCAGCAGGUUCUUCUGGUAGUGGGUUGUCUAGAACAUCUUCCUUUUUCUCAGCCCUGAGAAUAAUUCUCAGGUUACGGAUCCAAUCCGAGUAAUUUGUUCCAUUCAACUUGUCCUUCUCAAGGACCGAACGCAAAGCAAACGGUGUAGUGCUGCUAGGUGCCAUUUAAUCUACAACAAAAGUAAUGCAAAAUACACUAAGAAAAACGUAUCCAUGAUAGAGCAAAUCACAUUAAACUAUUUUAACAGAAUCUACUCCC